rnacentral:rRNA from 1 species
UACAGAGGUCUCAAGCGUUGUUCGGAUUCAUUGGGCGUAAAGGGCGCGUAGGUGGUUCUGUAUGUCUACCGUGAAAGCGUACGGCUCAACCGUAUUUUGUCGGUAGAAACUGCAGGACUUGAGGCUGGGAGGGGCUGGUGGAAUUCCCUGUGUAGCGGUGAAAUGCGUAGAGAUGGGGGGAGAACACUCGUGGCGAAGGCGGCCAGCUAGACCAGUUCUGACACUGAGGCGCGACAGCGUGGGGAGCAAACAGG